GACGUAUCGUCCCUAGACUUCAGUUUGAUUUCUGCCCAGGUGCGGCACCAGUUCCCUUGGCCGGUCGGAGUCUUCUUGCCAUGCCCUGCUGAACCCAGCACACCAAUAGUAUUAUUAAUUCCAAAUGAGGUUUAAUCUGGCCCUUGUAAUCUCUAUGUGAAUAGUUCUCUUUGAGUGUACUUUCAUUGGGCGCAUAAUAAAUAAUAGAUUACCAUCAGGGAUGGGAAAGGUAGUCCUGCCUCAGUACCUAGGUGCUGUACCGGUAGAAUUUCAAAAUCAGUACCUAGGUACUGUAAAUGUACUUUGGAAAGAUCAAUACCUAGGUACUGUACCGGUAUUUCGGUCCACUACCUAGGUACUUUUAGGUACUUUGUAGGUACUUUUCAGCAUGUCCCCGUAAUGACCUUUCCCCGUUACGCACCUAAUAUUUUACGUUACCACUCUCCAAUACCAAACAAUUUGCACCCCUUUACAAUUAAUUUUUAGCAGUGUCGUUCGGUUGGCCAAUAACAGUGACCGCUCUUUCUCGCUCA